rnacentral:rRNA from 1 species
GAUGAACGCUGGCGGCGUGCCUAAUACAUGCAAGUCGAGCGAACGGACGAGAAGCUUGCUUCUCUGAUGUUAGCGGCGGACGGGUGAGUAACACGUGGAUAACCUACCUAUAAGACUGGGAUAACUUCGGGAAACCGGAGCUAAUACCGGAUAAUAUUUUGAACCGCAUGGUUCAAAAGUGAAAGACGGUCUUGCUGUCACUUAUAGAUGGAUCCGCGCUGCAUUAGCUAGUUGGUAAGGUAACGGCUUACCAAGGCAACGAUGCAUAGCCGACCUGAGAGGGUGAUCGGCCACCCCGGAACGGAGACACGGUCCGGACUCCUACGGGAGGCAGCAGUAGGGAAUCUUCCGCAAUGGGCGAAAGCCUGACGGAGCAACGCCGCGUGAGUGAUGAAGGUCUUCGGAUCGUAAAACUCUGUUAUUAGGGAAGAACAUAUGUGUAAGUAACUGUGCACAUCUUGACGGUACCUAAUCAGAAAGCCACGGCUAACUACGUG